AACUUGAACUCGGUGGCUAAUUAGAUUAUUAUUAGUCCACUAAAAUUGAUUUCAUUUGAAAAAAAAAAUGGAGAAGAAGGCGAUUAGAAGAUCACAGAUCUCCCUCUCAAUAACUUUUUAAUUACACAAAGAUCUGACAAUUACCCAAAGGUGAUUAUCGAUUGUUCGCACUUUUCGAUUGCCGAAGGUGAUUAUCUCACUUCUCCAUUGUUCGAUCUCUCAAAUUUGCAGUUGAUUUCUUUAUUUUUUUCAAAUUAAUUUAAGGUGAGAUUCAAGUUAGUUUUGGAUUAGUUUAUGAUU
rnacentral:lncRNA from 1 species